UGGGGAAUAUUGCACAAUGGGCGCAAGCCUGAUGCAGCAACGCCGCGUGAACGAUGAAGGUCUUCGGAUCGUAAAGUUCUGUUGCAGGGGAAGAUAAUGACGGUACCCUGUGAGGAAGCCCCGGCUAACUACGUGCCAGCAGCCGCGGUAAUACGUAGGGGGCUAGCGUUAUCCGGAUUUACUGGGCGUAAAGGGUGCGUAGGUGGUCUUUCAAGUCAGGGGUGAAAUCCCGGGGCUCAACCCCGGAACUGCCUUUGAUACUGGAAGUCUUGAGUAUGGUAGGGGUGAGUGGAAUUCCGAGUGUAGAGGUGAAAUUCGUAGAUAUUCGGAGGAACACCAGUGGCGAAGGCGGCUCACUGGACCAUUACUGACGCUGAGGUGCGAAAGCGUGGGGAGCAAACAGG
rnacentral:rRNA from 1 species